rnacentral:tRNA from 1 species
GAAGGUAUAGCUCAAGUGGUAGAGCGCAUGCUCAGGAUGAAUAAGGUCUUGGGUUCAAUCCCCAGCACCUCCU